rnacentral:rRNA from 1 species
UCCCGCAGCAAUGCGGGAUGAUGGCGACCGGCAAACGGGUGCGGAACACGUACACAACCUUCCUUUAAGUGGGGGAUAGCCCAGGGAAACUUGGAUUAAUACCCCGUAAUAUAUAGAAGUGGCAUCGCUUUUAUAUUAUAGCAGCAAUGCGCUUGAAGAUGGGUGUGCGGCUGAUUAGAUAGUUGGCGGGGUAACGGCCCACCAAGUCGACGAUCAGUAACUGGUGUGAGAGCACGACCAGUCACACGGGCACUGAGACACGGGCCCGACUCCUACGGGAGGCAGCGGUAAGGAAUAUUGGUCAAUGGACGCAAGUCUGAACCAGCCAUGCCGCGUGGAGGAUGAAGGUCCUCUGGAUUGUAAACUUCUUUUAUUUGGGAAGAAACCCAUCUUUUCUUGGAUGGUUGACGGUACCAGAUGAAUAAGCACCGGCUAACUCCGUGCCAGCAGCCGCGGUAAUACGGAGGGUGCAAGCGUUAUCCGGAUUCACUGGGUUUAAAGGGUGCGUAGGUGGGCAAGUAAGUCAGUGGUGAAAUCUCCGGGCUUAACCCGGAAACUGCCAUUGAUACUAUUUGUCUUGAAUACUGUGGAGGUCAGCGGAAUAUGUCAUGUAGCGGUGAAAUGCUUAGAUAUGACAUAGAACACCAAUUGCGAAGGCAGCUGGCUACACAAAUAUUGACACUGAGGCACGAAAGCGUGGGGAUCAAACAGGAUUAGAUACCCUGGUAGUCCACGCCCUAAACUAUGGAUACUCGACAUUUGCGAUAAACUGCAAGUGUCUGAGCGAAAGCAUUAAGUAUCCCACCUGGGAAGUACGAUCGCAAGAUUGAAACUC